CAAAGUCUACAGCCAUUUCCAUCCCUCUCUGUAUAAGGCUUACAUAGGUCACAGUUAUUAUGCGUUGUGGUUUUAAGAGCUAGAGUUUGCAUUGUAAUCUCGACAGCAUUGACUCUGGUGGUAUUUACGUAUGUUAUUUUGUACAAACAGCAAUGUUAGUGUAACAAUUGUACCCUCGUCCAACGCAAUGAUCUAUCGGUGUUAUCCAGGCUGAUGGCACAUUUCAAUAUGGAAACAACAAUGAUGGACCCCAACCUGCUGACUUCACCCAAAGAAGGGUUGAAGCGAGACUUGGACAACUCGGAUCUUGCAUGGGUGGUCCCAAUUAUUCUCUUAUUCAUAGCUGCGUUUGUCGGGUUGGGUCUGCUGUUAUUUUACUGCAUCAGAGGAUCGGAGUUAUGGUGUAUUCGAUGCCUCUAUCGUUGCUGUGGAGCAUGCGCAGACACUAUUCAUAGGAAAUACAAAAGUGAAAAGGAAGAGUAUAGACGUUUGCGGGAUCGCCAAGAAACAAGUGUGAAAAUGAGACUGACAGAGUUCAACCGAAGUUAUUCGGCUGGGAUAAGAAACACAGAUGCCCCAGAUGUCUAGCCUUUGGACGUUAACAAACCCAAGAGACGUAUAGAACGUAACCCUAUGAGGCGUAAGCGAGAAGAAAUUUCAGAUUUGACUUCUGGAUCCGUGCCCUGUGUCUUGGACAAUAUAUUUCCCAUUGUCAUACGAUUGCGCAUAAAUUUAGCAUCAUUCGAACUAUUGGUAAUAUCUAUUACGAUUUCCAAUGACCAUGAUUUUGCUCAAUAUAUUACGUAAAUGCUUAUAGCUAAUUAUUUUUGUUAACUGUCCGUCUGUGAAACAGGUUGACAAAUUCGACACAUUUUAGGUAAUUUAUUGUUGUCUAUGUCAUUCCACUGACUGAAAAUGCAGAUUUUGGACAAAGAAAUACAUGUAUAUUGUCUAUGACUCAUAUCCCCACAUAUACAUACAAGAAAAGUAUGCUAGAAUCCAGUGCUAGAAAUACUUAAAGGGAAAGAAAAUAUAAAAAUAACGUAAGAAUCAGUGGCAAGACCUUUAAAAAUUGUAUCUGAAAAUUACUUCACAUAUUUUUUAGAUUUCUUUUUCACUGAAUUAAAACUGUCAAACGUUUUGGAUUGCACAGUGGGCUGUAUGGGCCAUAUACGCCGCAAAUGACGUCACGACAAUUUUUUUCUCUGGUCGUCAUAUAGGGGUUUAAUGUCAGAUUCUCUUUCUCUUGCACAGGCACACUGCUUGAUGGUUCAUAAAAACUUUAUUCAGGCCUGAAAAUAGGCCUAGAAGAUGAAGUGAAAGUUGUGUGUUGUAUUUAAAUUUGGUACUUAAAGCCCACCUUACAAUACACACAUUUAUUAUGCAAUGGAUAAAAUCUAUAUAGCAUAUACCUCAUUUUAUUGUGAGUCAUACCAGACAGGAUGAUAUAAAUUCGGUUUUGAGCAACGAGAACACAUGCAUUGCAUGUCAGUGGCACAUUGAUUCAAUAAAUAGAAGUCAUAUGUAUACGUGUGUAUAGGAUUAUAUAAAGACAUUUAUGAGCAGUUUGCCGUUCCUGCAUUGAAUGAUAUUAAAAGCAUCGUGAAGUAGAUGUUUUCAAUGCCAUUGCAUUAUCGCUCAUGUUUGAAAUCAUUAAAAAAUGUUUUAAGCGUAUAAAAUAUUGCAUGAUAUACUAUGUAUAAAGCGAAACAGUUUUAAAUUAUAACAUGCAAAAAAUAAAAAGCAGUCAAACGUAUGCGCCAUAUGAAAUUUGAGCGUAUAGUCUUUGUUCAGCAGUCUACGACAUUUUCAUUGUGAUCAAUGCCACUCACCAGCAUGGUGAAAUCCGCCUCAAUCUAGAACUGUCCAUUCAAAAUACAUAAUGAAGGAAUUUAUUAUGAACUUCGGGCACUACUGAAGCAACCCAAAUGCUGAAUACGAAACAGACGAGGAGUGAAGAUGGGAUAUUGGCACAAAGCGAUGGGAUGAUCACACGAAGCGAUCGACUGAUAGAAGUAAGCAGUGAGAUGAUGGCAC